UAGAAUUGACGGACCCGCACAAGCAGCGGAGCGUGUGGUUUAAUUCGAGGCUACACGAAGAACUUACCAGGGUUUGACAUGCAAGUGUAGGAAUCCGAAAGGUGACCGACCCUUCGGGGAGCUUGCACAGGUGCUGCAUGGCUGUCGUCAGCUCGUGUCGUGAGAUGUUCGGUUAAGUCCGCUAACGAGCGCAACCCUCGUCGUGUGUUAUACGUGUCACACGAUACUGCCGGUAUCAAGCCGGAGGAAGGUGGGGAUGAUGUCAAGUCAGCAUGGCCUUUAUAUCCUGGGCUACACACACGCUACAAUGGCAGAUACAAUAGGUUGCGAAACCGCGAGGUGGAGCCAAUCCUCAAAGUCUGUCUCAGUUCAGAUUGUAGGCUGCAACUCGCCUGCAUGAAGUUGGAGUUGCUAGUAAACGCAGGUCAGCUAUACUGCGUUGAAUACGUUCCCGGGGUUU
rnacentral:rRNA from 1 species